rnacentral:lncRNA from 1 species
UAAAUAGCGUAAAUAAUUAUCUAAACAUACGAAACAUAAAUACAAUCGCAUGCAAUAAUAUCAUACAGUAACUACCAUAACUAACAGCCAUAAGGGGGAGAUAAGCUAAAACACAAAUCCUCUAUGGGUAACCCUGCUGACCCACACCCAACCCCGGAUGAGGCGUACGAAAAACUCUAGGAGCCCCUAUCCUACAACCCUGAUUCUAG